GAUGAACGCUGGCGGCGUGCCUAAUACAUGCAAGUCGAGCGAACAGACUAUUAUCGUGCUCCUCUUACGUUAGCGGCUGACGUGUGAGUAACACUUGGAUAACCUACCUAUAAGACUGGUAUAACUUCGGGAAACCUGAGCUAAUACCAGAUAAUAUAUUGAACCGCAUGGUGCAAUAGUUAAAGAGGCUUUUUCUGUCGCUUAUAGAUGGAGUCGCGCCGCAUUAGCGAGUUGGUAAGGUAGCGGCUUACCAAGGCAACGAUGCGUAGCCGACCUGAAGUGGUGAUCGGCCAAACUGGAACUGAGAGACGGACCAGACCCCUACGGACAGGACCAGCAGGGAAUCUUCCGAGAUGGGCGCAAGCCUCACGGAGCAACACCGUGUGAGUGAUGAAGGCCUCCGGAUCGUAAAACACUGUUAUCAGCGAAGAACAAAUGUGUACGUAACCCUGCACGUAUUGACGGUACCUAAUAAGAAAGCGACGGCUAACUCCGUG
rnacentral:rRNA from 1 species